rnacentral:rRNA from 1 species
AUCAACGCUGGCGGCGUGACUAACACAUGCAAGUCGAACGAGAAAGUGACUUCGGUCACUGGAAAGUGGCGUCCGGGUGAGUAACACGUGGGUAAUCUACCUUCGGGUGGGGAAUAACGUCUCGAAAGAGACGCUAAUACCGCAUAAUGCAGCGGCACCUAAUGGUGAAUAGUUGUUAAAGCGGGGGAUCUUAGGACCUCGCGCCCUGAAGAGGAGCCUGCGGCAGAUUAGCUUGUUGGUGAGGUAAUGGCUCACCAAGGCUGCGAUCUGUAGCUGGUCUGAGAGGACGGCCAGCCACACUGGCACUGACACACGGGCCAGACUCCUACGCGGAGGCAGCAGUGGGGAAUUUUGGGCAAUGGACGAAAGGUCUGACCCAGCAACGCCGCGUGAGGGAGGAAAUCCUUCGGGAUGUAAACCUCAUAAGGUAAGGGAAGAGUGCGGAGGACUGAAUACGUCGUCCGCUCGACGGUACCGUUACGUAAGCCACGGCUAACUACGUGCCAGCAGCCGCGGGUAAUACGUAGGUGGGCAAGCGGUUUGUUCGGAAUUAUUGGGGCGUAAAGGGCGUGUAGGCGGCUUGUUAAGUCAGCUGUGUAAAGCCGGGGCUCAACCCGGAGGGGUCGGCUGAUACUGUUGAGCUUUGAGUACGGGAAGAGGGUAGCUGGAAUUCCCGGUGUAGCGGUGAAAUGCGGUUAGAUAUCGGGAGAGGAACACCUGAGGCGAAGGCGGGCUACUGGGGCUGAUACUGACGCUGAAAACGCGAAAGCUAGGGGAGCAAACAGGAUUAGAUACCCUGGUAGUCCUAGCCCUAAACGAUGGGAUACUUGGUGUGUCGGGUUUUUAGUCCCGGCGUGCCGGAUAGCUAACGCGUUGAAGUAUCCCGCCUGGGGGGGAGUACGGUCGCAAGGCUGAAACUCAAAGGAAUUGACGGGGACCUGCACAAGCGGUGGAGGCAUGUGGUUUAAUUCGACGCAACGCGAAGAACCUUACCUGGGUUAAAUCCGAGUGAAAAGCGCAGAGAUGCGUUUCCCCCCGCAAGGGGCACAAAGGAAGGUGCUGCAUGGCUGUCGUCAGCUCGUGUCGUGGAGAUGUUGGGUUAAGUCCCGCAACGAGCGCAACCCUUACCAUUAGUUACCAGCAUUCAGUUGGGGACUCUAAUGGAACUGCCGGGUGAUAAACCGGAGGAAGGUGGGGAUGACGUCAAGUCAUCAUGGCCUUUAUGUCCAGGGCUACACACGUGCUACAAUGGACGGUACAAACCGCUAGCAAACCCGCGAGGGGGAGGCUAAUCGGAAAAAGCCGACCUCAGUUCGGAUUGGAGUCUGCAACUCGACUCCAUGAAGCUGGAAUCGCUAGUAAUCGCAGAUCAGCACGCUGCGGUGAAUACGUUCCCGGGCCUUGUACACACCGCCCGUCACAUCACGAAGUGGGCAGCACUAGAAGCCGGUGGGCCGACCCGCAAGGGGGGCAGCCGUCCAAGGUGUUGUUCAUGAUUGGGGUG